rnacentral:rRNA from 1 species
AUUGAACGCUGGCGGCAGGCCUAACACAUGCAAGUCGAACGAGUGGCGGACGGGUGAGUAAUGUCUGGGAAACUGCCAGAUGGAGGGGGAUAACUACUGGAAACGGUAGCUAAUAACGCAUACCAUCGGAUGUGCCCAGAUGGGAUUAGCUAGUAGGUGGGGUAAAGGAUCACCUGGGAGACGAUCCCUAGCUGGUCUGAGAGGAUGAACAGCCACACUGGAACUCAGACACGGUCCAGACUCCUACGGGAGGCAGCAGUGGGGAAUAUUGCACAAUGGGCGCAAGCCUGAUGCAGCCAUGCCGCGUGUAUGAAGAAGGCCUUCGGGUUGUAAAGUACUUUAAGUUGGGAGGCGUGACCAACAGAAUAAGCACCUGCUAACUUCGUGCCAGCAGCCGCGGUAAUUC